CUCCGCGCCGCUACCGGAAGUGUGGUAGUGAGCGCUUCUGGAUCCGCCUGGGUUCUCUGGACCUUCAAAAUGUGGCGCCCUGCGCGGAAGUGAGCAAUGCGCUGGGUCCUGCCGCUGGCCCGCAAAGUGUCUCUCGGUGUUGUGCGCUAUAGCCACAGCCCCUGCAGGCUCGGGAUGUUCUAUGCGGUGCGCAGAGGCCGUAGGACCGGGGUCUUCUCGACUUGGAAUGAGUGCAGAGCACAGGUGGACCGGUUUCCUGCUGCCAGAUUUAAGAAGUUUGCCACUGAGGAUGAGGCCUGGGCCUUUGUCAGGAAGUCUGCGAGCCCAGAGGGCUCAGAAGGGCAGAAAGACACAGAAGAAUCACAGGUGAAAGCCAGUAAGCGGCUCCGGGAGCCUUUGGAUGACAGUGAAGACGCAGGCACAGAGCCGAGUGCCAAGCUCUCAAGACAGAGCACAGAGCCUAUCCCUCCCAUUAGCAAAGACACAUUUUCUUACAUGGGAGACUCCGUUGUUGUCUACACUGACGGCUGCUGCUCCAGUAACGGGCGGAGAAGGGCCCGGGCAGGAAUCGGCGUCUACUGGGGGCCUGGCCACCCUCUAAAUGUAGGCAUUAGACUUCCUGGGCGACAGACUAACCAGAGAGCGGAAAUCCAUAGAACAUGGUCAGCUCAGAACAGGAAGUGGUGUUUCGGUGGAAAGUCACUACUAGCGUGGGGAAUGCCUGCAGCUGAGCUUCCUGUGCAGCCUGACUGUGGACUGUGUUUCUCAAGGCAGCAUGCAAAGCCAUCGAGCAAGCCAAGGCUCAGGACAUCAGCAAGCUGGUGCUGUACACGGACAGCAUGUUCACCAUCAAUGGAAUCACCAGCUGGGUACCGGGUUGGAAGAAGAACGGGUGGAGGACGAGCACGGGCAAAGAAGUGAUCAACAAGGAGGACUUCGAGCGGCUGGAGCAGCUCGCGGAGGGCAUGGACAUCCAGUGGAUGCACAUUCCAGGCCAUUCGGGAUUCACGGGCAAUGAGGAGGCAGACCGGCUGGCCAGAGAAGGCGCCAGGCAGCCUGAAGAUGGAGCAGAGUCCCUGAGGACCCACAACUCCUGAGCCUCCAUUCUCCAGUGUGCACUGCAGCUCUGCUGACGGCUGCAGUGGACAGGUGGACACAGCUUCCCCCCAACCCUGAGAUCAGCUCCACUGUGGUGUCCCGUGACAUGGCAGGACACGCUUACAGAAAGCAGCAAACACGCUGGAGACCUGCAGAUUCUGUGAACUGUCAGCUCUGUACUUAUUAGGCUCGAUACGGCAGUAAAACACUGCAGUCUGGUCUAGAA